rnacentral:rRNA from 1 species
ACGGAGGGGGCUAGCGUUGUUCGGAAUUACUGGGCGUAAAGCGCACGUAGGCGGUUUUUCAAGUCAGGCGUGAAAGCCCCGGGCUCAACCCGGGAAUAGCGCUUGAUACUGUUGAACUUGAGACCGGGAGAGGAUAGCGGAAUUCCCAGUGUAGAGGUGAAAUUCGUAGAUAUUGGGAAGAACACCAGUGGCGAAGGCGGCUAUCUGGACCGGUACUGACGCUGAGGUGCGAAAGCGUGGGGAGCAAACAGG